AUGGCUCAGGACGAACGCUGGCGGCGUGCCUAACACAUGCAAGUCGAGCGAGGAGAUCCUUCGGGAUGAUCCUAGCGGCGGACGGGUGAGUAACACGUGGGCAACCUGCCUCAUAGAGAGGAAUAGCCUUCCGAAAGGGAGAUUAAUACCUCAUAACAUUGCAGUUUCGCAUGGAACAGCAAUUAAAGGAGUAAUCCGCUAUGAGAUGGGCCCGCGGCGCAUUAGCUAGUUGGUGAGGUAACGGCUCACCAAGGCGACGAUGCGUAGCCGACCUGAGAGGGUGAGUCGGCCACAGUUGGGACUGAGACACGGCCCAGACUCCGUACGGGAGGCAGCAGGUGGGAAUAUUGCACAAUGGGGGAAACCCUGAUGCCAGCAACGCCGCGUGAGUGAUGACGGCCUUCGGGUUGUAAAGCUCUGUCUUCAGGGACGAUAAUGACGGUACCUGAGGAGGAAGCCACGGCUAACUACGUGCCAGCCGCCGC
rnacentral:rRNA from 1 species